rnacentral:misc_RNA from 1 species
GGCUCAUUUUUUUUCCUCAGAAGAUAGAGUUUUCAUUGAUUAAAAAGGCCGAGGGCCCAAUAUAGAGAAGGGUACAAAAAAUAAUUAAGAGCAACAACAACGCCCACCCAAAUAGACCCAUCUCUUAAGACCAUAAUCUGUAGCAGGUAAAACCACCCAAACCCAUGACCCAACAACCAAGAAGAGGCAGCCAUGGAUAGCACCACUCACCAAGGUGCUAUUGUCAGUCGUCGGAGACGUCGACCAGUACUAAGUUUGGCGAAGAAAAUAGAAGACUUCCAUCCUAUAUAUGCCAUACAUGGCUUGGUUCAGAUUCUAGAACAAAGAAAACCUCUAUAAAACACUGACAUCUUCUGGAUUUACAUGGCUUCAAGCGAUUUCAACAAAUCUCAGGCCGAGAGAAAGCAUAAUUAAUCUCUCAGAACAUCCCAACAAUCGGCGAAGGAAGGAAAUAGCAGAGCUCUUGGCGACCCACUCUCGCCUUAUGGGAUACAAAGAACCCAACGAGAUACCGACCUCGACUCAGAACAACCUUUCACCAUCAAUAACCAAGGACUCUCACUGAUGUCUGAUUUGUCGUAAUCUGCGAAACACAUAAACAAUAAGAAACAGAACAUAACCAUAGGAAUAAAGCAGCAUCAAGAACCCUCAGCACAAUUGCCCAGUUGCUCAAAAACAAACCAAAAUCAAUAUUUACAUCCCAACACCGGAGCUGGGGAGGGAACCCACUGCCAGGACAAGUGGAAGAAGGCCCUCCCCUCUCUAGAGGGGUAGAGUAAGACUAACGCUACGACAAAAGACUGAAAACAAGUUCUAGAGAAAAGAAAAAGCUAGAGAGAUAGAAGAGUCUUUGUGUUCUGAAAGGCUCAAUUGGUGAAUAUGUUAACAUCUGAACGAAUCCUAGCUAAAAAUCAAAACUAAAGCUUCUUUGACACUUGACAUGAUUUGCAUUUCUAUUGAGGGUAUUCCAUCCAAGAAGAUGGAACAUGCACCAAAUCCAAAACCCAUCCUCUUUCAUGCGAAGCCUAAAAGAAACUAGUGACUUUUGGAUUUAGUUGGUGAAUUCUAAUUGCUUUGGUAGUUUGGUGUUGGAUUUUAAGCCAAU